rnacentral:rRNA from 1 species
AGUGAACGCUGGCGGUAGGCCUAACACAUGCAAGUCGAACGGCAGCACAGUAAGAGCUUGCUCUUACGGGUGGCGAGUGGCGGACGGGUGAGGAAUACAUCGGAAUCUACUUUUUCGUGGGGGAUAACGUAGGGAAACUUACGCUAAUACCGCAUACGACCUACGGGUGAAAGCAGGGGAUCUUCGGACCUUGCGCGAUUGAAUGAGCCGAUGUCGGAUUAGCUAGUUGGCGGGGUAAAGGCCCACCAAGGCGACGAUCCGUAGCUGGUCUGAGAGGAUGAUCGGCCACACUGGAACUGAGACACGGUCCAGACUCCUACGGGAGGCAGCAGUGUGGAAUAUUGGGCAAUGGGCGCAAGCCUUAUCCAGCCAUACCGCGUGGGUGAAGAAGGCCUUCGGGUUGUGAAGCCCUUUUGUUGGGAAAGAAAAGCAGCAGGUUAAUACCCCGCUGUUCUGACGGUACCCAAAGAAUAAGCACCGGCUAACUUCGUG